GUGGGGAAUAUUGGACAAUGGGCGCAAGCCUGAUCCAGCCAUGCCGCGUGAGUGAUGAAGGCCUUAGGGUUGUAAAGCUCUUUCAGUGGGGACGAUAAUGACGGUACCCACAGAAGAAGCCCCGGCUAACUUCGUGCCAGCAGCCGCGGUAAUACGAAGGGGGCUAGCGUUGUUCGGAUUUACUGGGCGUAAAGCGCACGUAGGCGGAUCGUUAAGUCGGGGGUGAAAUCCUGGAGCUCAACUCCAGAACUGCCUUCGAUACUGGCGAUCUUGAGUCCGGAAGAGGUGAGUGGAACUCCUAGUGUAGAGGUGGAAUUCGUAGAUAUUAGGAAGAACACCAGUGGCGAAGGCGGCUCACUGGUCCGGUACUGACGCUGAGGUGCGAAAGCGUGGGGAUCGAACAGGAUUAGAAACCCCAGUAGUCC
rnacentral:rRNA from 1 species